rnacentral:rRNA from 1 species
AUGGAGGAAGCAACCGAGAUGGAAGAACAUGCCAACACAGCCCACCAGGAUUCCGAUUCCAAUAGAGUUGUAUUGCCUAGUUUGGUACCUUAUGUUGGCAUGGAAUUUAGAAGCUCAGAUGAGGCUUGGUCAUAUUGGCUUAGCUACGGUGGGCAGAAAGGCUUUGAGGUUAGGAAAAGGUAUACUAACAAAAGUUCAGCCGAAGGCAAGGUUACAUCAUGUAAAUUUGUUUGUGCAAAUGAGGGUCAGCGAGCACAAGACAAAAGGGAUCAUUUGACAGAGUGCCCUCGAGCUGAAACUAGAACCAAUUGUGAAGUGCACAUGAAGCUUAAAAUGGACCGGAAGAAGGGAAAUCUCAAAGUGUCGGAGCUGGUUUUGGAACACAACCACACACUACACCUAGCAGAAACCUUACACUUAAUGGUGUCACAAAGAAAAAUUUCAGAGUUACAAGCUUUUGAAAUUGCAACAGCAGAUGAUGCGGGAAUUGGGCCAAAAGCCGCACAUGAGUUGGCUAGUCGCCAAGUUGGUGGACCACUCAAUCUUAGUUAUACCCUCCGUGAUCACAAGAACCAUUUGCGGACCAAGCGCCAACGAGAAAUGGCAUAUGGCCAAGCGGGUAGCAUGCUUAAGUAUUUUCAAGACAAAAUUGCUGAAAACCCAUCUUUCCAAUAUGCAUUGCAAAUGGACUGUGAAGAACAAAUAGCGACCAUAUUCUGGGCUGAUGCUAGAAUGAUCAUGGACUAUGCACAUUUUGGUGAUGUUGUUAGUUUUGACACUACUUUUGGAACAAACAAGGAGAGUAGGCCCUUUGGUGUCUUUGUCGGAUUCAAUCACUUUGGCGCUGGACAAAGGAAGCACGAAGUGGAACUGUACAAGACAAACAAGGAAGAAAUAUCGUCUUAA